CCUACGGGUGGCAGCAGUGGGGGAUAUUGGCCAAUGGGGGAAACCCUGAUCCAGCGACGCCGCGUGAGUGAAGAAGUAGUUCGGUAUGUAAAGCUCUGUCAGCAGGGAAGAAAGAAAUGACGGUACCUGACCAAGAAGCCCCGGCUAACUACGUGCAAGCAGCCGCGGUAAUACGUAGGGGGCAAGCGUUAUCCGGAAUUACUGGGUGUAAAGGGAGCGUAGACGGUGAUGCAAGUCUGGAGUGAAAGGCGGGGGCCCAACCCCCGUACUGCUCUGGAAACUGUGUAACGUGAGUGCAGGAACGGUAAGCGGAAUUCCUAGUGUAGCGGUUAAAUGCGUAGAUAUUAGGAGGAACCCCAGUGGCGAAGGCGGCUUACUGGACUGUAACUGACGUUGAGGCUCGAAAGCGUGGGGAGCAAACAGGAUUAGAUACCCUGGUAGUC
rnacentral:rRNA from 1 species